AUGGACGGGGAACACCCGUUUUUGAACAGGUGGAAGAGAGUGACCCCCGGGGAGUAUGAUCUGCCAAAGGUCACCUGUCGAGCUUGGCUGAGGAAGGUUUGCAGAGGCCAGCAUCAGAGCCCGGGACGCCCUCUCCUCUCCUGGCGCCCUGGGUGCCUGGGCUUAGUUGUUUUGCAUCCUUCUGAGAAUUGCCUACUGUGCACCAGACGCCAUGCCACAAGCUUGUGUGUACCACCUCCAGGAGCCAUCACCUUCAGUGACGGGGCACUGUGCUGUCCCUGUUGUCCAGAUGCACAAGCUGUGGCUUCAGCAGAGCCGGGAUUCACCGCCAGGACUCUCUCUAGUCCUGGAGUUCCCGUUCUCAGCGCAGGCUACUGCCCACUGGGCCAAGAAAGCCCCAGAGAUCCGGACCACUCUGCUUGCCUUCUCUUUCGGCCAGUGUGACCAGGACCGGGCCCGGGAAGUGACAGCUGCUCUGCCCUGCGAGAGAGAUCCCAGUCCUUAGCUUGUAUCCUCUCUAAGGCCAUACCCCAGGAGCAGCCUGCCGAUCCUGUCCCCGCUGACUCCCACCGGCCGCCGCAGGGAGCAGGGCCAGAUGGGGCGGCUCCGACUCCCUCCUUGCCUGGCAGUGCAGCCCCGUGACCAGUCCCCCUGAGACCUCCCGGCCUGGCCAUCCGAGAUGACCCUUGGCCCUUCCCCACAGAAGCCCAGACCUCUGACCCUUAUUAAAAACAAACCAAACAAAAUCCGGAGAGAGAAAAAAUUUUUUCCACAAACAGCCUGAGAGAUGAUGGCGUGCCCCUGGCGCGCACACACACCCCAGCCUCAGACACGCGAGGCCGCCUCCACAUAAACACGCUGCUGGCGCGCGGGCUGUGUUUAGGAAACACCCAGGUUUCUCUCAGUUUUGGGAGGGGUGUGAACG
rnacentral:lncRNA from 13 species